rnacentral:lncRNA from 1 species
CAUCUAACAGCGGGCUGGAAGGUGACCUUGAGCUUGAUGUUGUUCCAUCAUCAACAAAUGACAAAGAAACCAGCAAGCUUGUUCCUACUGAUGCAAGGCCAGAUAUUGGUAGCUUGAGACCUUCAGUAGAUGCAGCAGCAAGGGGGACAGCUGAUGCAAGGCCAGAUAUUGGUAGCUUGAGACCUUCAGUAGAUGCAGCAGCAAGGGGGACAGCUGAUGCAAGGCCAGAUAUUGGUAGCUCCAGACCUUCAGUAGAUGCAGCAGCAGCAAGGGGGACAGCUGAUGGGAAUUCAUCAAGAGCCCCAGAAAAGAAGCACAAUAUGGCACUCCCCGUGCAAUUCACCAG